GUUUGUAUUUCAAACGCAUGUCAAUAUUAAUAUUUGCAAUCAGUCGUCUUUAAAAAUAGGUUCAAACUUCAUUAAGAGUUACGUAACGUAAAUAUCCUUGUUUGUAAGUUACCUAUUAGGAACAAGUUAGUCAAAUUCUUGUUGCCGUCUACUGUACAUUUUUAAAAAAUCAGAGUUAUAAUAGUUUAAUAUAUACAUAUAUAGGCAAGCAUAAUGCUCAGGCUACCUGAAUAGCAGGGACGCCACAAAUAAUAGAUAUAAUGGGUUACCUCACAAGAAGGAACGCCAUACAAAAUAUACGCAUGGGUCACCUCAGGAGCAGGGACGCCACAAUCAAUUCACAAAUGGGUUACCUUAAGAGCAGGAACGCCAUCAAAAUGAUAAGACAGUAACUUAGAGACUGCAAUAAGCAAAAUCAAAUUCUGUUUAAGAUUUAUUCAAGUUUAUCAUAUUUCAUAUAUUUUUGCAACAUUUUGUUUAAACACUUUGCUUAUAUUUUUAAUUAAAUUUCAUCAACUGUAAAGAUAAACGUUCUUUUGUAAGCAUGUGGGUAACAAACUUUUAAAGAACAACGAUUUAUAAUUGAUACUUAAUAGUAUUUUAUCAUCAUAACAUCAAUUAAAUUUAAAACAAAAAACAAGAAAAAGGAAAAAAAAAAACACCA
rnacentral:lncRNA from 1 species